rnacentral:rRNA from 1 species
GGUCAAGCGAACAAGUGCAUGUGGUGGAUGCCUUGGCGAUCACAGGCGAUGAAGGACGCGGUAGCCUGCGAAAAGCUACGGGGAGCUGGCAAACGAGCUUUGAUCCGUAGAUGUCCGAAUGGGGAAACCCACUCCUUUUGGAGUAUCCAUGGCUGAAUACAUAGGCCAUGUGAAGCGAACGCGGUGAACUGAAACAUCUAAGUAACCGCAGGAAAAGAAAUCAACCGAGAUUCCCAAAGUAGUGGCGAGCGAAAUGGGAUGAGCCUUGCACUCUUUAUUUGUAUUGUUAGCCGAACGCUCUGGAAAGUGCGGCCAUAGCAGGUGAUAGCCCUGUAGGCGAAAACAGUAUGAAAGAACUAGGUGUGCGACAAGUAGGGCGGGACACGUGAAAUCCUGUCUGAAGAUGGGGGGACCAUCCUCCAAGGCUAAAUACUCGUGAUCGACCGAUAGUGAACCAGUACCGUGAGGGAAAGGCGAAAAGAACCCCGGGAGGGGAGUGAAAUAGAUCCUGAAACCGCAUGCAUACAAACAGUCGGAGCCUCGCAAGGGGUGACGGCGUACCUUUUGUAUAAUGGGUCAGCGACUUACGUUCAGUAGCAAGCUUAACCGUAUAGGGCAGGCGUAGCGAAAGCGAGUCCGAAUAGGGCGUUCAGUUGCUGGGCGUAGACCCGAAACCAGGUGAUCUAUCCAUGGCCAGGAUGAAGGUGCGGUAACACGUACUGGAGGUCCGAACCCACUAACGUUGAAAAGUUAGGGGAUGAGCUGUGGAUAGGGGUGAAAGGCUAAACAAACCUGGAAAUAGCUGGUUCUCUCCGAAAACUAUUUAGGUAGUGCCUCGUGUCUCACCUUCGGGGGUAGAGCACUGUCAUGGUUGGGGGGUCUAUUGCAGAUUACCCCGCCAUAGCAAACUCCGAAUACCGAAGAGUGCAAUCACGGGAGACAGACAUCGGGUGCUAACGUCCGGUGUCAAGAGGGAAACAACCCAGACCGCCAGCUAAGGUCCCCAAAUAUAGCUAAGUGGGAAACGAAGUGGGAAGGCUAAAACAGUCAGGAGGUUGGCUUAGAAGCAGCCACCCUUUAAAGAAAGCGUAAUAGCUCACUGAUCGAGUCGUCCUGCGCGGAAGAUGUAACGGGGCUAAGCUAUAUACCGAAGCUGCGGAUGCGUGCUUGCACGCAUGGUAGGAGAGCGUUCCGUAAGCCUGCGAAGGUGCCUUGUAAAGGGUGCUGGAGGUAUCGGAAGUGCGAAUGCUGACAUGAGUAGCGAUAAAGGGGGUGAAAGGCCCCCUCGCCGUAAGCCCAAGGUUUCCUACGCAACGUUCAUCGGCGUAGGGUGAGUCGGCCCCUAAGGCGAGGCAGAAAUGCGUAGCUGAUGGGAAGCAGGUCAAUAUUCCUGCACCAUUGUUAGAUGCGAUGGGGGGACGGAUCGCGGAAGGUUGUCCGGGUGUUGGAAGUCCCGGUCGCUGCAUUGGAGAAGGCGCUUAGGCAAAUCCGGGCGCGUAAUUCAAGGGUGUGGCGCGAGCUCCUUAGGGAGCGAAGCAAUUGGAAGUGGUUCCAAGAAAAGCCUCUAAGCUUCAGUCUAACGAUGACCGUACCGCAAACCGACACAGGUGGGCGAGAUGAGUAUUCUAAGGCGCUUGAGAGAACUCGGGAGAAGGAACUCGGCAAAUUGGUACCGUAACUUCGGGAUAAGGUACGCCCUUGUAGCUUGACUGGCCUGCGCCAGGAGGGUGAAGGGGUUGCAAUAAACUGGUGGCUGCGACUGUUUAAUAAAAACACAGCACUCUGCAAACACGAAAGUGGACGUAUAGGGUGUGACGCCUGCCCGGUGCCGGAAGAUUAAAUGAUGGGGUGCAAGCUCUUGAUUGAAGUCCCGGUAAACGGCGGCCGUAACUAUAACGGUCCUAAGGUAGCGAAAUUCCUUGUCGGGUAAGUUCCGACCUGCACGAAUGGCGUAACGAUGGCCACACUGUCUCCUCCCGAGACUCAGCGAAGUUGAAGUGUUUGUGAUGAUGCAAUCUACCCGCGGCUAGACGGAAAGACCCCAUGAACCUUUACUGUAGCUUUGCAUUGGACUUUGAACCGAUCUGUGUAGGAUAGGUGGGAGGCUAUGAAACCGGAACGCUAGUUUCGGUGGAGCCGUCCUUGAAAUACCACCCUGGUUUGUUUGAGGUUCUAACCUUGGCCCGUGAUCCGGGUCGGGGACAGUGCAUGGUAGGCAGUUUGACUGGGGCGGUCUCCUCCCAAAGCGUAACGGAGGAGUACGAAGGUACGCUAGGUACGGUCGGAAAUCGUGCUGAUAGUGCAAUGGCAUAAGCGUGCUUAACUGCGAGACCGACAAGUCGAGCAGGUGCGAAAGCAGGUCAUAGUGAUCCGGUGGUUCUGUAUGGAAGGGCCAUCGCUCAACGGAUAAAAGGUACUCUGGGGAUAACAGGCUGAUACCGCCCAAGAGUUCAUAUCGACGGCGGUGUUUGGCACCUCGAUGUCGGCUCAUCUCAUCCUGGGGCUGUAGCCGGUCCCAAGGGUAUGGCUGUUCGCCAUUUAAAGAGGUACGUGAGCUGGGUUUAAAACGUCGUGAGACAGUUUGGUCCCUAUCUGCCGUGGGCGUUGGAUAUUUGAAGGGGGCUGCUCCUAGUACGAGAGGACCGGAGUGGACGAACCUCUGGUGUACCGGUUGUCACGCCAGUGGCAUCGCCGGGUAGCUAUGUUCGGAAGAGAUAACCGCUGAAAGCAUCUAAGCGGGAAACUCGCCUUAAGAUGAGAUAUCCCUGGGGACUAGAUCCCCUUGAAGGGUCGUUCGAGACCAGGACGUUGAUAGGUCAGGUGUGUAAGCGCAGUAAUGCGUUCAGCUAACUGAUACUAAUUGCCCGUAAGGCUUGAUCCU